AUCUCCAUCUAUAUUCCACACCGUCAGAUCCACGAUCCGGCGGCCCGCGGCCCACAUCGGGCAGCGCACUAACUCUGGCGGCGCCGGCCGGCGACUGCUGCCGCGCGCUCCGCAUCCCCGCCGCACCGCUACAGCGGGCUCCGGCGAUGGAAGCAGCACCCCCUCUGUUUGCCGUAGGGAGCGGAGCCGUAGUCGGCCCCCGCGCUCGCUGCAAGAGCGACGACGGCGAGCCAGCCAGCCUCCGCCAUUCAAGCAAGUCCUGCGCAAUAGCUUGAGGAGUGGGGAGGAGGAAGGAAGCAAACAGGACGCGGAUGGAGGCGGAAUGAGCUAUGAGCGGGUACCUGUUCUACAACAGUGGUUGCUUCAGAGAUGUAAGAUAUUCUUGCGAGGGACAUGUCAAUCAUCAUCUUCGCAUAUGUUGCUCCAACCAUGAGGAGCAUAGGUACAACUAGCAGAGAGAGCAUGCCAACCUCCCAGCAGCAUGCAAAUGCAACAAUGAUAGCAACUACGAAUGUGGAGAAGUUUGACAUAAAGUGACCCAUCUGAAGAAAGUAAGGAAGCUUUUUUAAGUUUUGUUACCAUCAAGUAUGUUUGGGUUAGUGAAUCUUGCAGAGUUGCAGUGGGUAUUCUAAAGGGAAAAUUAAUACCUUUUCACCAAUUGCAUCUUGUAUUACACUCAUGUGGUUGGUUGCUCCAGCAAUGAUGUUUGCAGUGGACAAGUCAGUAUCGAAAGCUCCAAUAUCUUGACUGAGCACUGAUCUCAGGUAUGCCAUCCGCAUGCGUGCCAUUUGCCUCUGACUUGUAUACAUCCAACAUGCAAUUUCUGCAGCAGGGCCACUGUGAGUUUGUGUAAGAUUAGACAGUUCAUUGGGAAAUGACUUAUGAUUUUCGUAUUGCUUUUGUUUCUCAUGAUGCAGUGUUCUCUUUGCUGCGUGUGUGGACAAUCAGUUAGAUAGCCUGUUACUGUAUUCAAAUAUCAAAUACACAUUUUGGUCCUCUUAUCUUUAGCCAAUGAAUGAGUUAAAUACUGCAUGAUAAAAUGGCGUUGACAAAAAAAGGAUGAAACGACAACCAGCUUAAACAAUUAUAUUUAUAACUCCACUGCACGUCAAAGUAGUUCAACUGAUCCAGCACUCCUCAACCCAAACACUAGCCUUAGCUUUUGUAAACUUGCUGAAGCUAUGGCUCACAUGCAAAUAAUGCAUUAACCUGGCAAAAUGUAGUUUAAGAUAAUUCAGGCUUCAUGUCCUACCUAGUUUGACUGAGAUUCACAUGUUGUGCAUCUUUAUCUUCGAAUAAUUUAGCCCCCAGAAUGUUUUUAACGAAUAGUUCUGUCAGGUUUUAUGCAUCCUAUUGUUCUUCGUAUAUUUUCUCAAAGCACUCAGUGUUCUACAUAGACACUCCAUUCGAUGACUUAAAUAAUUCUGUUGGUCUUCAUAUAGGCUUAUACUUUUUUUUUUAAACUAUACAGCGGGGAGACCCCCACUGUGGUAAGAUAUAUCAGUAAGCAAAGAAAAAAAUACUGUUCACAGACAAGUGUCCAAAGGGCACCGUAGCGCCCAAAAAAAAAAGUUAGAACUUAGGCUUAUACUUGUCAGUUAUAUUAGUUCACUGAAUUUUCAGAUUUGCAUAGGUUCCUUUAGAUCUUCAGUAUGCUUUAUAGAUGGCAUAAUUAUCAGUCUGUUUUCUUUUGCUUACAUUGUCAGUAAUAUAGCAAAGUUAGAACUUAGGAGACUUCACUUACCAAUCAUUCCACCAGGAAGCGUAACAAUUGCCAAGGCCCACAUAUAUGGAAUUAACUGCAAACAGGAUCAUUGGAAGUAUUCACUGUUAGUGAAAUAACAAUAAACCAUUCAGCAGAAUCGAAUGGCAUUUAGUAGGGUAGCUUGAAAACAAAUUAGAUCGAAGGUAAGUAACCUUGUUGAGUUCAUGGACUGUGGCCUCUUUAUUGCCUAUGUUGUUCCCAAUCGCAUCGACAGAUUUCCCGAGUAUGUAGUACGACAAAGCAGGCCCCAUGCCGUGUAUGAAGGACCCCAUGGUACCUGACACCAUGAGUAGCCAAUCUAGCGCAUCAGCGUAGGAAAGUAGGCCAAGAAACGGAAACGGCUUGUCUUCAGCCUCCGUUUCUGGUGCCAUCGAUGCUGGUCCUGAGCUUUUCUUUCCAUCUGCAAUGUUGGGUACAGAUGAUUCAGUGGGCCUAUCCUUCUCUUGGACAAGUGGCAUUGCUUUUGCUGAAUCUUGUGCUAUUUUGCAAAAGAUUUGCAGGCACAAUGAGCUUUAUAGUACUAAUGUGUUUUUUAUAUGCACACUGACAACCAUACAACUACAAAAUUGCAGGACACUCCAUUGGUACUAUCAAGAUUCACAAUUAAUUACUCCAGCUCCAGCCUGGGAAAAAUACUUUAUCUAUUGCUCUAUCUUAGCGGCUACCGUUCUUAUUCACAACUCCUUUGCUGACAUGAUGCAGCAUGUCAAGCCUGCGUAUUCAUGCUUAUUCACAACUCCUUUGCUGACAUGAUGCAGCAUGUCAAGCCUGCGUAUUCAUGCUUACAAGUAAACUUUCCAGGCGAUGUCUGCAACUUCAGUUACGCAGUAAAAGUCACUUCAUUGGGAAACACUAAGCAUGAAUCUUUUGUUGUUGUAAUCAAAUUGUAGGGCAUGAGGCAACUUUGUUUUCAUCUACAGAUUACAGUACUUUACGCCAUCUACAAGUGUAAUCCAGAGUAGCCAUGACUUACUGGAACCAGAUCUUACUCUACAUGUUCCGUAGUCCUUCCAAAUAACAAAUGAAGACACCAUCUAUCUUCCUCGUA